UACGAAGGGGGCUAGCGUUGCUCGGAAUCACUGGGCGUAAAGGGCGCGUAGGCGGCCCUUCUUGUCGCGUGUGAAAGCCCCGGGCUCAACCUGGGAAUGGCGCGCGAGACGGGGGGGCUGGAGUUCGGGAGAGGAGCGUGGAAUUCCCAGUGUAGAGGUGAAAUUCGUAGAUAUUGGGAAGAACACCGGUGGCGAAAGGCGGCGUCCUGGACCAACACUGACACUGAGGAGCGAAAGCCAGGGGAGCAAACGGG
rnacentral:rRNA from 1 species